AUUUACCUAAUAUAAUUAGUAUAUUUGACUUCCAAUCAAAAAGUUUGACUUUAAUCAAGGUAAAUA
rnacentral:tRNA from 1 species